AACGAACGCUGGCGGCAUGCCUAGCACAUGCAAGUCGAACGAAGGCUUCGGCCUUAGUGGCGCACGGGUGCGUAACGCGUGGGAAUCUGCCCUUUGCUUCGGAAUAACAGUUAGAAAUGACUGCUAAUACCGGAUGAUGUCGCAAGACCAAAGAUUUAUCGGCAAAGGAUGAGCCCGCGUAGGAUUAGCUAGUUGGUGGGGUAAAGGCCUACCAAGGCGACGAUCCUUAGCUGGUCUGAGAGGAUGAUCAGCCACACUGGGACUGAGACACGGCCCAGACUCCUACGGGAGGCAGCAGUGGGGAAUAUUGGACAAUGGGCGAAAGCCUGAUCCAGCAAUGCCGCGUGAGUAAUGAAGGCCUUAGGGUUGUAAAGCUCUUUUACCCGGGAUGAUAAUGACAGUACCGGGAGAAUAAGCUCCGGCUAACUCCGUG
rnacentral:rRNA from 1 species